GGACCAGAUUCUAAGGACUUGGAACGACGAGGUGAGUACAUGGGACCUGCCUGUGGAUGGCUCCGGAACCGAACUAAUACCGAAUAAUGUUUUUCUCGCAUGAGAGAAAGAUGAAAGUGGCUUUUAGCUAUCACUUACAGAUGGGCCCGCGGCGCAUUAGCUAGUUGGUGGGGUAAUGGCCUACCAAAGCAACGAUGCGUAGCCGACCUGAGAGGGUGAUCGGCCACACUGGGACUGAACACGGCCCAACUCCUACGGGAGGCAGCAGUAGGGAAUCUUCCGCAAUGGACGCAAGUCUGACGGACAACGCCGCGUGAGUGAUGAAAGUCUUCGGAUUGUAAAACUCUGUUGUUAGGGAAGAACAAGUACCGUUCAAAUAGGGCGGUACCUUGACGGUACCUAACCAGAAAGCCCCGGCUAACUACGUGCCAGCGCCGCGGUAUACGUAGGGGGCAAGCGUUGUCCGGAAUUAUUGGGCGUAAAGGGCGCGCAGCGGUCUUCUAAGUCUGAUGUGAAAUCCCACGGCUUAACCGUGGAAGGUCAUUGGAAACUGGAGGACUUGAGUGCAGAAGAGGAGAGUGGAAUUCCAUGUGUAGCGGUGAAAUGCGUAGAGAUAUGGAGAACACCAGUGGCGAAGGCGACUCUNUGGUCUGCAACUGACGCUGAGGCGCGAAAGCGUGGGUAGCGAACAGGAUUAGAUACCCUGGUAGUCCACGCCGUAACAAUGAGUGCUAGGUGUCAGGGGGUUUCCGCCCCUUGGUGCUGGAGUAACGCAUUAAGCACUCCGCCUGGGGAGUACGGCCGCAAGGCUGAAACUCAAAAGAAUUGACGGGGGCCCGCACAAGCGGUGGAGCAUGUGGUUUAAUUCGAAGCAACGCGAAGAACCUUACCAGGUCUUGACAUCCUCUGAUAGCUCUAGAGAUAGAGUGUUCCCUUCGGGGACAGAGUGACAGGUGGUGCAUGGUUGUCGUCAGCUCGUGUCGUGAGAUGUUGGGUUAAGUCCCGUAACGAGCGCAACCCUUAAUCUUAGUUGCCAGCAUUUAGUUGGGCACUCUAAGGUGACUGCCGGUGACAAACCGGAGGAAGGUGGGGAUGACGUCAAAUCAUCAUGCCCCUUAUGACCUGGGCAACCACGUGCUACAAUGGAUGGUACAGAGGGCAGCGAAGCCGCGAGGUGAAGCAAAUCCCAUAAAACCAUUCUCAGUUCGGAUUGUAGGCUGCAAUUCGCUACAUGAAGCAGGAUAGAGUAUCGUGGAUCAGCAUGCCACGGUGAUACGUUCCCGGCCUUGUACACACCGCCCGUCCCCCCCACAGUACAACACGAAGUAGAG
rnacentral:rRNA from 1 species